GUCGGAUUUCAGGGUUUGUCCAAUGGCUAAGGUCACCCUGUAUAGGUUUAUUACGAUAUUUAUUUAUAUAUUAUAUAUAUCGUUGUCCGAGUACCCAUAACACAAGCCUUCUUGAGCUUACCGUGGGGCUUAGUAAAUUUGUGUAAAAAUGUCCUAUAAUAU